AACGAACGCUGGCGGCAUGCCUAACACAUGCAAGUCGAACGAGACCUUCGGGUCUAGUGGCGCACGGGUGCGUAACGCGUGGGAACCUGCCCUUAGGUUCGGAAUAACUCCCCGAAAGGGGUGCUAAUACCGGAUAAUGUCUUCGGACCAAAGAUUUAUCGCCUUUGGAUGGGCCCGCGUUGGAUUAGCUAGUUGGUAGGGUAAAAGCCUACCACGGCGACGAUCCAUAGCUGGUCUGAGAGGAUGAUCAGCCACACUGGGACUGAGACACGGCCCAGACUCCUACGGGAGGCAGCAGUGGGGAAUAUUGGACAAUGGGCGAAAGCCUGAUCCAGCAAGGCCGCGUGAGUGAUGAAGGCCUUAGGGUUGUAAAGCUCUUUUACCCGGGAUGAUAAUGACAGUACCGGGAGAAUAAGCGCCGGCUAACUCCGUG
rnacentral:rRNA from 1 species